rnacentral:rRNA from 1 species
AGACGAAGAUAGGGAUCAAAGCAAUCAGAUCGUCGUAGUCUUCUAUAACUUGCGACUAGGAUCGAUGAAACAUCACAUUUCAGUACUAUGAGAAAUCAAAGUCUUUGGGUUCUGGGGAGGUAUGGUCGCAAGACUGAAACUUAAAGAAAUUGACGGAAGGGCACCGCCAGGGAGGUGGGGGCUGCGGCUUAAUUUGACUCAACACGGGGAAACUAACAGGAACAAGACAGUAGUAAGGAUUGACAGAUGAUAGCUCUUUCUUGAUUCUGUGGGUGGUGGUGCAUGGCCGUUCUUAGUUGGUGGAGUGAUUUGUCUGGUUAAUUCCGAUAACGAACGAGACCUUAACUGCUAACUAGAUAUUUUCAUUUUAUGAAUAUAUCUUCUUAGAGGGACUAUAUGCUUUAAAUAAAUAAAAAGAAUGAGGCAAUAACAGGUCUGUGAUGCCCUUAUAUGUCCUGGGCUGCACGCGUGCUACACUGAUAUAUACAACAAGUGCCUAGCUAGAUAUAGUAUGGCAAUCUCGAAUAUAUAUCGUGAUGGGGAUAGAUCUUUGCAAUUAUAGAUCUUGAACGAGGAAUUCCUAGUAAGUGCAAGUCAUCAUCUGCAUUGAUUAUGUCCCUGCCCUUUGUACACACCGCCCGUCGCUCCUACCGAUACCGGGUGACCCGGUGAACCUGUGGACCCUUGGGAAAAAUAAGUAAUCUCUAUAUCCCUUAGGAAGGAGAAGUCGACAAGAAUCGGAUCCCGGCACGCUUGACG